UUCUUCGGACUCUGUCAGAGAGGAGGUUGUAAAACUGUCUUUGGAGGGAGGAGGGGAACUUCUUCAAAGUAGGCAUAACUUGAGGAGAUAUCGCAGUGGAGUAGAUAAAAUGUUCAAGAAGGAAC